rnacentral:lncRNA from 1 species
AAUCACUUGAACCCAGGAGGCAGAGGUUGCAGUGAGCCGAGAUCGCGCCACUGCACUCCAGCCUGGGCAACAAGGUUAUCUAAAUGGGCUUCCCAUAAGGAGAAGCAAUUACACUGCAGAAAGUCUUUCUUUGCCUUUUGGUAACUGGCCUAACGAACAGAUUUACGUUUUAUUGAUAAUUCUUAUGUCAUCAUUAGUUUUUAUAUUGCUUAAAAAUAAAUCUAACAGAAUUAAGGUUUUUACAUCCAUGUAACUUUCUAUAUUGCUUCUAAAGUCCUUCUGCCGUUAAGUUACAGGGCUUUGACUCCUGAGUCUGAAAAAGGCACAGAUUCCUGCUAAAUCUUGAACACUGACGCCAGUCAAAGCCUCAUCUUCAGACCUGGGAGAAGCGGCUUACAGUCAACUACAGUCCAAAAUUUGCUCCUUGGAAGACUCCUGAAUGCAGGUUUCUGAUGAUGUCAGAAAGACUGUGCUGUUGGAUUAGACAGAAAACUUCUAGGACUCUAAUUAAAAGGCUGAUGUGGUCAUAAAGAUUGCUAACCCAGUAUGAAGCAAAACAAGAGUUAAUUGCAUGGACUGAGCUAAUAGAGGACUGAACUGAUUCUUUUGUGGCUUUUUUGGUUUGAAACAUUGCUGAUUCUUUUUGUUGUUCAGUGUCAAAUUUUUUUUCUCUUGAGCUAUUUGUAGCCCUUAACAAUUGAGUAUACUCUUGUAAAUAAAAUUUAAAGCAGA